GAGUCCUGCAGCUUUAAUCGGGUGAAGGCAGCGAGGCCACUGGGGCACAUCCCUGCAGGUUUUCUCUCUCGAGGUUUCGGAGGGCGCAGCCUCCUUUUAUCCCAAACUCCGCCACUCGUUGCCCUCUUCCUUCCCCCGCUGGCCGAGGUGUUGCAGCAGUAGCACAACACAAACUGCUCUCACAGGACAUUCAUCUGAAAAAACCAGCAGAAUAAAAAGCGUAAACAAUAAAUCAUUCCUGAACAAGGGAGCUCUGAACUCAAAAACCAUGACAUGGAGCUGUUAUCUGAGUUGUUGCUGUGUCUAAGCAAUAGCAGCCCUGCUCAGCACCAUGUGCAGUGAGUAACCACUGGUGUUCUGCUGUUCCUCUGACAGCUUCCACUCAUCUCACUGCUGCAAGUCUGCCUUGCUUCACAAUCUGACCAUCCCUGCUGAGGGUUGCUGCUUUGAACACAUUCCACUAGCCCAGGUUGCUCCAAGCCCUGUCCAGCCUGGCUUUGAACACUUCCAUUUUGAUUGCUGAGUCUAAACAUUUAUAAAGAAAAAAUAUAUUUUCAUCUACACGCCAGCAAUGAUCUACCCAGUGGCACAGGAGAGAAACAAAAAGCUGAUUUUUCCCUUGCCACAACCCCAGCUGUAAGAAUGUGAACAAUGAGGCACAGAGCACCACUGAAGUUCCAAAGAAAACAAGUUUACAUGCAGACAGGCUUGAGACAGAUAAGCUGACACAAUCUGUAUCCCAUAUGAGGAGCUUUGCUGUGGAAUUUGAAGCCAAUAUUUCAUUCCAUUUUUAAGCAGAAAAUCCUUAUGUCAAGGAAAAAUCUGUAGAGAAAAGCAUGGACUGAGUAUUUGGGGCAAAAGGCAUAAAAAUAAACCUGCACCACUGAA